CAGACGUGAUGGGAGCAGUCUGGGGAGAAGUGUCAGAUACAUCUGUGAGACUUCUGUGAGUUGUGGACUGCAGAAGCAUGGCUGGGGAGAUUACCGCAUGAAUACCUAUGGGGCAGACUAUAAGCCUUUUGAGGACAUCUGAUACACAUUUAAGAAAUUUCCUCAGCGCCUGUCAGAGAUGCUCAAUAAAUGUUUAUCG